ACAACUGCUCGAUGCUGGAGAGGACUGCAUAAGCUGAUGAAAAUGAAGCCCAUAUCGGUGCCAAGAAAAUCAUAUCCUGAACCCUUCUCCGUGGAAAUCAAUCUGAGAAGUUGGCGUGGACCUGGGCUCUUGGCACUCCCCGCACCGAUCUGCAAUCAGCUCAAUUUAUCUCAAUCCACAACUCACCAGCUCCAUAACGACCGACUCCUCACAUCUGGUCCCUGCCCAGUCGUUGAGUCACUCUGUCCUGGCUGCCUACCUGUUCACUCGCUCCCAGCCACACCUGAUCAGCCUCUGGACCCCGCUCACUCAUUCUGCUCUCUGGGGACACACUCUGGGGAGUAGCCUACCUCCAAAAGCCCUGAUUCAUCCCACACCUUUUGAACGGUGUAUAAACAGUUAAACUUACUGUAGGUCUGCAUCCACGUUGCAUCAUAUUAUUUUUUGUUAAGUGUUUAUUUUUGUAAUUUACCACAGCUUGUGUAACAGUGCAUCACUUACUAUCCCAGGUUGUUUGUCUUUACAUUAUUAAAGUCUACAGCUAAGCAUAUGAUAAGUAAACACACAGUCAUAAUUUAGUUUCAGUUACAUUUAAUUAGUUUACAUAUUUGAACAUGGUUCAACUGUUUUCCUGUCUUAAUACUUUUUCCUUUGUUCAGUUCCACCAUGCAGGACAGUUGUUUGCGGAGGGGCAUUUCCUGUUUCUUGUUUUCAAGUAGGAGGGUUUCUUUCCUCAUAGGAAUGUAUCUUUUGGCUGUUGUGGUUAUUUUUAGUAAAUGUGUAAGGAUCUCUGACCUGUUUUCAAAUCAUUGGGAGAGAAGUAAACUGAUAAUCAAGUUCCCAA